UACGUAGGACGCAAGCGUUAUCCGGAUUUAUUGGGUUUAAAGGGUGCGUAGGCGGACCCAUAAGUCAGUGGUGAAAUACUGUCGCUCAACGAUAGCAUUGCCAUUGAUACUGUGGGUCUUGAGUACAGUUGAGGUAGGCGGAAUGUGUAGUGUAGCGGUGAAAUGCUUAGAUAUUACACAGAACACCGAUUGCGAAGGCAGCUUACUAAGCUGAAACUGACGCUGAGGCACGAAAGCGUGGGGAUCAAACAGG
rnacentral:rRNA from 1 species